UCCCCGUUACCGGGGCAGUCUACUUAGAAAAAUCCAACUAAGUAUAAGGGUUGCGCUCGUUGAUGGACUUAACCAAACAUCUCACGACACGAGCUGACGACGGCCAUGCAUCACCUGUCACAAGGUUCCAAAAGGCACACGCUACUUUCAUAGUGUUUCCUUGGAUGUCAAGCCCUGGUAAGGUUCUACGUUUAGCAUCGAAUUAAAGAACAUGAUCCGCUGCUUGUGCGGUCCCCCGUCAAUUCCUUUAUGUUUUAGUCUUGCGACCGUACUCCACAGGCGGGAUACUUAACGCGUUAGCUUCGUUACCAAGGGGGUCGAUACCCCUGACAACUAGUAUCCAUCGUUUACGGCGUGGACUAC
rnacentral:misc_RNA from 1 species